rnacentral:sRNA from 1 species
CCCGGCGGCCGUGCACUUCCGGCCGGUGGCCGGCCCGGCGCGCACCGCCCCUUCCGCCGCCGCCCAGCGAGCCCAGCCCCGGUCCCAGCCCCGGUCCCAGCCCCGGCCGUCCCGGCGUCGCUUCGGAGCGCGGCGGCAGCUGACUGCGCCUUCACGAUCCGCUGGGACCCGCGAGCCCCGCCGCCGUUAUGAACAUCCGCAAUGCGAGGCCAGAGGACCUAAUGAACAUGCAGCACUGCAACCUCCUCUGCCUGCCCGAGAACUACCAGAUGAAAUACUACUUCUAUCAUGGCCUUUCCUGGCCCCAGCUCUCUUACAUUGCUGAGGACGAGAAUGGGAAGAUUGUGGGGUAUGUCCUGGCCAAAAUGGAAGAGGACCCAGACGAUGUGCCCCAUGGACAUAUCACCUCAUUGGCUGUGAAGCGUUCCCACCGGCGCCUCGGUCUGGCUCAGAAACUGAUGGACCAGGCCUCUCGAGCCAUGAUAGAGAACUUCAAUGCCAAAUACGUCUCCCUGCAUGUCAGGAAGAGGUGGAAGCCGGGCUGAGGGAAGGGGGAUUGAGGGGGAGAGAUACUGCCUUGACGGGGGUCCUGGGGUACCUCGGCUUUUGGUGAAGAUCCAGGAAGUGGGACUGGGGGGAAGGAGGGACCAGGAGGAGGGGCGUGCAGCUCAGCAGUGCCUUGUUCCCCUGCAGUAACCGGGCCGCCCUGCACCUCUAUUCCAACACCCUCAACUUUCAGUAAGUAGAUCUCGAUUUUUCUAAUGGGCUGGGGUUGAUCCCAGGUCUGGCCCAUCACGGCACCUGAGACCGGCUGAGUUGCCUUCCAGGUUGGGGGUGGGCCGGCUGUGGGGAGGAGGCUGUGGACCCCAGUGCUGCCAGGUAUACCUCCACAUUCACUCGGCGGCUGAUGGUUGAAAAGUCGGCAUGGAGACAGCACCUGCCUGCUGAAACGUGCUCCGUGUGUGUUGUGAUGGAGGAGCUCUGGCCCAUGCUGGCUGAGGCUGGCGAAGGGCACACGGGCUGUUUAGUAAUGUUUGGGAA